CCUACGGGGUGCAGCAGUGGGGAAUAUUGGACAAUGGGCGAAAGCCUGAUCCAGCCAUGCCGCGUGUGUGAAGAAGGCCUUCGGGUUGUAAAGCACUUUCAGUGGGGAAGAAAGCCUUGGGGCUAAUACCCUCGAGGAAGGACAUCACCCACAGAAGAAGCACCGGCUAACUCCGUGCCAGCAGCCGCGGUAAUACGGAGGGUGCGAGCGUUAAUCGGAAUUACUGGGCGUAAAGCGCGCGUAGGCGGUCUGAUAAGCCGGUUGUGAAAGCCCCGGGCUCAACCUGGGAACGGCAUCCGGAACUGUCAGGCUAGAGUGCAGGAGAGGAAGGUAGAAUUCCCGGUGUAGCGGUGAAAUGCGUAGAGAUCGGGAGGAAUACCAGUGGCGAAGGCGGCCUUCUGGACUGACACUGACGCUGAGGUGCGAAAGCGUGGGUAGCAAACGGGAUUAGAUACCCCAGUAGUC
rnacentral:rRNA from 1 species